AUGAGUACCGUUGACCCCUUGCUCCUGUCAUCAUCCGGAAGUGCAGACUCGCCUUCAAAGCAUACGGCUCCUGCUCGGCCAUCGGUGGGCUCAUUGAACUGCCUCUGCCGUGCUGAUUCAUGCUCUUCCUCAGUGUAUGAGGAUUGCGACACUGCUUCUGUUAAUUUUGCGGAUGAAGGGGAUGCCAUACCAAGGCAUUGUCCGGAGGAGUCUGAUGUGAGCAGGGUGGCAGAGCGUUUCCAGUCUGCUGAUUCGCAUUUCUUCCAUCGUCUCUCGGUGGAAUGCUCUCAGAAGGAGAGGCAGCGGAAGAUUUCUUGGGGUGGUGUAAUGGAGAUGCAGCGCUCUCCAUCAUCCCUAGAGGUCGGAGUAGUAUCUUCCUCCAAGGAGAAACCAAAUCGACCCCCGAGGGGCAGGAACAAGAGCUCGCAUUUUGAAGACCUGUUUUCAUCUGAGCAAGAGCAUGACCCAAGGCUAAUUCACAUCAAUGAUCCCGUCAGAACAAACGACCGAUAUGAAUUUACAGGAAAUGAGAUUCGGACAAGCAAGUAUACUUUGAUUACUUUCCUGCCUAAGAACCUCUUCAUCCAGUUCCAUCGGCUGGCUUAUGUAUACUUCCUAGUUAUUGCUGCUCUUAACCAGCUACCUCCUUUAGCUGUGUUUGGAAGGACCGCUUCAUUGUUCCCGCUACUUUUUGUGUUGUUUGUGACUGCUAUAAAAGAUGGUUAUGAAGACUGGCGUCGUCACAGAUCUGACAGGAAUGAAAAUAACCGAGAGGCACUUGUUCUUCAACAUGGUGAUUUUCGGUCGAAAAAAUGGAAACACAUUUGUGCGGGGGAGGUUGUCAAAAUUCAUUCCAAUGAAACAAUGCCAUGUGAUAUGGUCCUGCUGGGUACAAGUGAUCCAAAUGGUAUAGCUUACAUCCAAACAAUGAAUUUGGAUGGCGAGUCAAACCUGAAAACAAGGUAUGCUCGCCAGGAAACUGUUACCAUGAUAAGCCACAGCUCAUAUUUGGGGUUGAUCAAAUGUGAGCAGCCUAACAGAAAUAUCUAUGAGUUUACAGCUACCAUGGAGCUGAAUAAUCAGAGGAUUCCGCUUGGCCAAUCUAACAUUGUAUUGCGUGGGUGCCAGCUCAAAAACACAGAAUGGAUUAUCGGGGUCGUUGUCUAUGCUGGCCAGGAGACAAAAGCUAUGUUAAACAGUACAAUAUCCCGUUCAAAGAGCAGCAAUCUGGAGAGUUACAUGAACAGGGAAACCCUUUGGUUAUCAGCUUUCCUCUUGAUCACAUGCUCAGUUGUUGCUACAGGGAUGGGUGUAUGGUUAUUUAAAAAUACUAAAAACCUUGACGCACUACCAUACUACAGGAGAAAGUACUUCACCUUUGGCCGGGAAAACAGAAAGGAUUUUGAGUUCUAUGGCCUUGCAUUGGAGAUAUUUUUCUCCUUCUUGAGUUCUGUGAUUAUCUUUCAGAUAAUGAUACCAAUAUCAUUAUACAUCACCAUGGAGCUAGUUAGAGUGGGGCAGUCAUACUUCAUGAUUGGAGAUACUCGGAUGUAUGACAGUAGUUCAGGUUCAAGAUUUCAGUGCCGAUCAUUGAAUAUCAAUGAAGACCUAGGCCAAAUACGGUAUAUAUUUUCUGACAAAACAGGUACCUUGACUCAAAAUAAGAUGGAAUUUCAGCAAGCCAGCAUCUAUGGGAGGAAUUAUGGGAGCUCCUUGCAGGUCACUAGUGACUCAUCACAUGAAAUAACCAUUGCAGAGUCAUCGAGCCAACAUGACAGGAAGCCCAAGUCAGAAAUCAAUGUUGAUGCACUACUCUUGGCACUUCUGAAACAACCAUUGUUUGGGGAGGAAAGACUCGCAGCCCAUGAUUUUUUCCUUACUUUGGCUGCAUGCAAUACUGUCAUUCCAGUUAGCACAGGAGGUUCUCCCGAUUUGACCAAUGAAGUAAGUGAGGUUGGUGCAAUUGAUUACCAGGGGGAAUCACCUGAUGAGCAGGCCUUAGUAAUUGCAGCUUCUGCUUACGGAUACAAGCUUGUUGAAAGAACAACUGGCCACAUUGUUAUAGAUGUUCAGGGCGAGAGGAUAAGGUUGGAUGUUCUUGGUCUGCAUGAAUUUGAUAGUGUGAGAAAAAGAAUGUCUGUUGUUGUAAGAUUUCCAGACGACACUGUGAAAGUUCUUGUCAAGGGUGCUGAUACUUCAAUGCUUAGUAUUUUGAGGACCAGGAACCAUGAUGGACUUUUCGAUUCUUUGCACGCCAAAACUAUAGAAACUACAGAAAAUCAUUUGUCAAGUUAUUCCUCAGAGGGUCUACGAACCUUAGUAAUUGGUUCGAAGUACCUGAGCAAUGAAGAAUUCAGUGAAUGGCAGGAAAGGUAUGAAGAAGCUAGCACCUCCAUGACAGAGAGAUCGGCAAAGCUCCGUCAGGCGGCAGCGCUUGUAGAGUGCGAUUUGACUCUUCUGGGUGCAACUGGAAUUGAAGAUAAGUUGCAGGAUGGUGUGCCUGAGGCCAUUGAGUCCCUCCGUCAGGCUGGAAUCAAGGUCUGGGUUCUCACAGGGGAUAAGCAAGAAACUGCUAUAUCGAUUGGUUUAUCAUGUCGAUUAUUAACUCAAGGUAUGCAUUCGAUUAUCAUAAAUGGUUCCUCCGAGAUUGAAUGCAGGAGCCUUCUAGCUGACGCUAAAGCCAAAUUUGGAAUCAAGUCGGCUGACCUUGGAAAGCAAGAUGUGGAAGAUCUGCACAACGGCGAUGUUUCAAAAUUAAGGUCCUCUAAUGGUCAAGCAUCUGAAAGUGGAAUACAAAACUUCCAGUUGACUGGAGUUAUUGCUAAUGACAAGUCAGUAAACAUUGAGGAAUCACCAAAUUUUGAUGAUGCUGAGUUAGCACUGAUAAUUGAUGGGAAUUCCCUUGUGUAUAUUCUAGAGAAAGAUCUUGAAUCAGAGUUAUUUGACUUGGCAACCUCCUGUAAAGUUGUCAUCUGCUGCCGUGUUGCUCCUCUGCAAAAGGCUGGAAUUGUCGAUCUGAUUAAAAGCAGGACGAGUGACAUGACCUUGGCAAUCGGUGAUGGGGCAAAUGAUGUUUCAAUGAUACAGAUGGCUGAUGUUGGUGUUGGUAUAUGUGGUCAAGAAGGUCGUCAAGCAGUGAUGGCUUCAGAUUUUGCUAUGGGGCAGUUCCGCUUUUUGAAGAGAUUGCUUCUUGUACAUGGGCACUGGAAUUAUCAGCGUAUGGCAUACAUGAUUCUCUACAACUUCUAUCGGAAUGCUGUCUUUGUGUUAAUGCUCUUCUGGUAUAUCUUGCACACUGCAUAUUCCGCAACUCUUGCGCUAACAGAUUGGAGUAGUGUUUUCUAUUCCCUUAUCUACACAUCAGUUCCCACAGUAGUGGUUGGUAUUCUAGACAAGGACUUGAGUCACAAUACUCUUCUUUAUUAUCCUAGACUAUAUGAGGCAGGGCUUCGAAAUGAGGGCUACAAUAUGACACUCUUCUGGAUCACAAUGCUAGAUACCUUGUGGCAAAGCCUUGUCCUUUUCUAUGUACCUUUCUUCACAUACAAUAUCAGUACAAUGGACAUAUGGAGUAUGGGAAGUUUAUGGACAAUUGCGGUGGUUAUACUGGUCAAUAUUCAUCUGGCCAUGGACAUUCAACGUUGGGUGCUUAUAACCCAUCUCGCCAUAUGGGGCUCUAUAGCUGCAACGUUUUUGUGCAUGGUGUUAAUAGAUUCUAUACCUAUAUUCCCUAAUUACGGGACACUAUACAAUAUGGCUGCUUCAAGAACUUACUGGCUUAGUGUUUGCCUUAUAAUAGUCUUGGGGUUGCUUCCUCGGUUUCUUUGCAAAGUAAUAUAUGAGACCUUCUGGCCAUCUGAUAUUCAAAUAGCAAGAGAAGCUGAGUUGUUAAAGAAGCUGCCUCAACAGUUGCGAUCAAGGCCUGAAAGUGAUAUCAGCUAA
rnacentral:rRNA from 1 species